GACGAACGCUGGCGGCGUGCCUAAUACAUGCAAGUAGAACGCUGAAGGAGGAGCUUGCUUCUCUGGAUGAGUUGCGAACGGGUGAGUAACGCGUAGGUAACCUGCCUGGUAGCGGGGGAUAACUAUUGGAAACGAUAGCUAAUACCGCAUAAGAGUAGAUGUUGCAUGACAUUUGCUUAAAAGGUGCAAUUGCAUCACUACCAGAUGGACCUGCGUUGUAUUAGCUAGUUGGUGGGGUAACGGCUCACCAAGGCGACGAUACAUAGCCGACCUGAGAGGGUGAUCGGCCACACUGGGACGGAGACACGGCCCAGACUCCUACGGGAGGCAGCAGUAGGGAAUCUUCGGCAAUGGACGGAAGUCUGACCGAGCAACGCCGCGUGAGUGAAGAAGGGUUUCGGAUCGUAAAGCUCUGUUGUAAGAGAAGAACGAGUGUGAGAGUGGAAAGUUCACACUGUGACGGUAUCUUACCAGAAAGGGACGGCUAACUACGUG
rnacentral:rRNA from 1 species